rnacentral:rRNA from 1 species
CACGUAGGGGGCAAGCGUUGUCCGGAAUCAUUGGGCGUAAAGCGCGUGUAGGCGGCCCGAUAAGUCCGCUGUGAAAGUCCAAGGGCUCAACCCUGGAAUGCCGGUGGAUACUGUCGGGCUCGAGUCCGGAAGAGGCGAGUGGAAUUCCGUGGUGUAGCGGUGAAAUGCGCAGAUAUCAGGAGGAACACCAAUGGCGAAGGCAGCUCGCUGGGACGUGACUGACGCUGAGACGCGAAAGCGUGGGGAGCAAACAGG